rnacentral:tRNA from 1 species
AAAGUUUUAAGUUAAGUUAAUAAACUUUUAACCUUCAAAGUUAAAUAUAUAAAUUAUUAUAAACUUUA